rnacentral:rRNA from 1 species
GACGAACGCUGGCGGCGUGCUUAACACAUGCAAGUCGAACGGAGCGAAUGAAAGCUUGCUUUUAUAAGCUUAGUGGCAAACGGGUGAGUAACACGUAGGCAACCUGCCGACAGGAUGGGGACAACAUUCCGAAAGGAAUGCUAAUACCGAAUGAAGCGCAGGAGAGGCAUCUCUCCUGCGUGAAAGAUGGCCUCUAUAUAUAAGCUAUCACCUGUCGAUGGGCCUGCGUCUGAUUAGCUGGUAGGUGAGGUAACGGCUCACCUAGGCGACGAUCAGUAGCCGGUCUGAGAGGAUGAACGGCCACAUUGGGACUGAGACACGGCCCAGACUCCUACGGGAGGCAGCAGUGGGGAAUCUUCCGCAAUGGGCGCAAGCCUGACGGAGCAACGCCGCGUGAGUGAAGAAGGUCUUCGGAUCGUAAAGCUCUGUUGAUGGGGACGAACGUGCCUAAUGCGAAUAGUAUUAAGGUAA